GCGCUCCAAGCCGUUGCUGUGAGAGGGCGAUCUGUGGGCUGUCAGGGAAAUAAGUGACCAGACAGGAACAACACAGGCAGAACAUGCUGCUGUUGCACAUAUUUACAUCCUGAUUGGCUGAAGUAAGUGACGGUGUGGGCGUCACGAACAGACGCAGCCUUCAGACCUGAGCCAGGCCGCCAUCUUGGAGAGAUCUGAACUUGGCUCGAAACUCGCGUUCCCUAUUUAUUCUGUUUCAAAAGACAGAUGUCCCAGGUACCCCAAAGUAAGAAAAAGCUCCGUUCUCAAACUUCAGCGCUUCUUUACCAAACUCCACCUCAACUCGGCCCUGGAAAACAAAACACCACAGUAACACGCAUGCUGACAUCACAAACACCUGUGCAGGUGAAGAGUAAGAUUACAGUCGGUACCUGCAGGACCAAGAUGAAGUAGUCGACCGGUUUGUUGCGGUGGAAGAGGAAGUGGUGCUGAGCUCGUUUGCUCUUCUCGUCGAAUUUGAGUUCCUGGACCACACUGGGGUGCUUGAUGAGCCUCAGCAGGAUCUUCUCUGAGAUGUGCGCAGGUUUAAAGGGCUCCACCUCUAACAAAGGAGGAGCUUCAGUAACAUGGCACAGUCUGCCAAUGUCUCAACAUUGUAGUUACAAAAGUAAAGAGAUGAUCAGUGUUCUAUUUUUUAAAAUAAACCAGUAAAGAUGUGCAUAUA